rnacentral:rRNA from 1 species
UACAGAGGUGGCAAGCGUUGUUCGGAAUUACUGGGCGUAAAGGGCGCGUAGGCGGCUUGGUCAGUCCCGUGUGAAAUCCCUCGGCUCAACUGAGGAACUGCACGGGAAACUGCCUGGCUUGAGUUCGGGAGAGGGAAGCGGAAUUCCGGGUGUAGCGGUGAAUGCGUAGAUAUCCGGAGGAACACCGGUGGCGAAGGCGGCUUCCUGGACCGACACUGACGCUGAGGCGCGAAAGCUAGGGGAGCAAACAGG